rnacentral:rRNA from 1 species
UACGUAGGGUGCAAGCGUUAAUCGGAAUUACUGGGCGUAAAGCGUGCGCAGGCGGUUUUGUAAGUCAGAUGUGAAAUCCCCGGGCUUAACCUGGGAACUGCGUUUGAAACUACAAGGCUAGAGUGUGACAGAGGGGGGUGGAAUUCCACGUGUAGCAGUGAAAUGCGUAGAGAUGUGGAGGAACACCGAUGGCGAAGGCAGUCCCCUGGGCCUGUACUGACGCUCAUGCACGAAAGCGUGGGGAGCAAACAGG